UACGGCGGCUAUAGCGGAGGGGAAACGCCCGGUCCCAUUCCGAACCCGGAAGCUAAGCCCUCCAGCGCCGAUGGUACUGCACUCGACAGGGUGUGGGAGA
rnacentral:rRNA from 1 species